rnacentral:rRNA from 1 species
CCUACGGGAGGCAGCAGUGAGGAAUAUUGGUCAAUGGACGAGAGUCUGAACCAGCCAAGUAGCGUGAAGGAUGACUGCCCUAUGGGUUGUAAACUUCUUUUAUAAAGGAAUAAAACGAGGCACGUGUGCCCUUUUGCAUGUACUUUAUGAAUAAGGAUCGGCUAACUCCGUGCCAGCAGCCGCGGUAAUACGGAGGAUCCGAGCGUUAUCCGGAUUUAUUGGGUUUAAAGGGAGCGUAGAUGGGUUGUUAAGUCAGUUGUGAAAGUUUGCGGCUCAACCGUAAAAUUGCAAUUGAUACUGGCAGUCUUGAGUACAGUUGAGGUAGGCGGAAUUCGGGGUGUAGCGGUGAAAUGCUUAGAUAUCACGAAGAACCCCGAUUGCGAAGGCAGCUUACUAAACUGUCACUGACAUUGAUGCUCGAAAGUGUGGGUAUCAAACAGGAUUAGAUACCCUGGUAGUC